AUAGCGUAUAUUAAAGUUGUUGCAGUUAAAAAGCUCGUAGUUGGAUUUGUGGUGUGUCCUGUCGGGCCGUGGGCUUUGCCCGUGUGCCUGUACGGGUCUGCCUUUUAUGGGACUGUUGGCUGUGUGGCAUUAGGUUGUCGCAUUGUCGAUGCCCAUCUUUUACUGUGAAAAAAUUAGAGUGUUCAAAGCAGGCUUAUGCCGUUGAAUAUAUUAGCAUGGAAUAAUGAUAUAGGACCUUGGUACUAUUUUGUUGGUUUGCGCACUAAGGUAAUGAUUAAUAGGGACAGUUGGGGGUAUUCGUAUUCCAUUGUCAGAGGUGAAAUUCUUGGAUUUUUGGAAGACGAACUACUGCGAAAGCAUUUACCAAGGAUGUUUUC
rnacentral:rRNA from 1 species